GACCUGAUAGUGGAGUUGGUGCCACGCCUACCUCUAGUACCUAGCACAAGUAGGGGAUUUUGCGUAGGAGACUCCCGUUCGAUCCGGGGUCAGGUCA